rnacentral:rRNA from 1 species
CCUACGGGAGGCAGCAGUGGGGAAUAUUGGACAAUGGGCGCAAGCCUGAUCCAGCCUUGCCGCGUGAGUGAUGAAGGCCCUAGGGUUGUAAAGCUCUUUUGUGCGGGAAGAUAAUGACGGUACCGCAAGAAUAAGCCCCGGCUAACUUCGUGCCAGCAGCCGCGGUAAU